rnacentral:rRNA from 1 species
GUGGAUUAGAUACCCUGGUAGUCCACGCCGUAAACGUUGGGCACUAGGUGUGGGUCUCAACCAACGGGAUCUGUGCCGUAGCUAACGCAUUAAGUGCCCCGCCUGGGGAGUACGGCCGCAAGGCUAAAACUCAAAGGAAUUGACGGGGGCCCGCACAAGCGGCGGAGCAUGUUGCUUAAUUCGAGGCAACGCGAAGAACCUUACCUGGGUUUGACAUGUAGGGAAAAGCCGUAGAGAUACGGUGUCCUUCGGGGCCCUACACAGGUGGUGCACGGUUGUCGUCAGCU